GAGAGCCGGAUGCGGUGAAAGUCGCACGUCCGGUUCGGGCGGGCGGCCCCGGGAAACGGACUCGGAGCAAUCCGAGC
rnacentral:ncRNA from 1 species